GUUCGAUCUCAAAUCAGGUAGGACUACCCCGCU
rnacentral:rRNA from 1 species